rnacentral:rRNA from 1 species
GACGAACGCUGGCGGCGUGCUUAACACAUGCAAGUCGAACGGAAAGGCCCUGCUUUUGUGGGGUGCUCGAGUGGCGAACGGGUGAGUAACACGUGAGUAACCUGCCCUUGACUUUGGGAUAACUUCAGGAAACUGGGGCUAAUACCGGAUAGGAGCUCCUGCUGCAUGGUGGGGGUUGGAAAGUUUCGGCGGUUGGGGAUGGACUCGCGGCUUAUCAGCUUGUUGGUGGGGUAGUGGCUUACCAAGGCUUUGACGGGUAGCCGGCCUGAGAGGGUGACCGGCCACAUUGGGACUGGGAUACGGCCCAGACUCCUCGGGAGGCAGCAGUGGGGAAUAUUGCACAAUGGGCGGAAGCCUGAUGCAGCAACGCCGCGUGCGGGAUGACGGCCUUCGGGUUGUAAACCGCUUUCGCCUGUGACGAAGCGUGAGUGACGGUAAUGGGUAAAGAAGCACCGGCUAACUACGUG